UACAGAGGGGGCAAGCGUUGUUCGGAAUUACUGGGCGUAAAGGGCGCGUAGGCGGCCGCCUAAGUCAGACGUGAAAUCCCUCGGCUCAACCGGGGAACUGCGUCUGAUACUGGAUGGCUUGAGUUCGGGAGAGGUGAGUGGAACUGCGAGUGUAGAGGUGAAAUUCGUAGAUAUUCGCAAGAACACCAGUGGCGAAGGCGGCUCACCUGGCCCGGUACUGACGCUGAGG
rnacentral:rRNA from 1 species